UCCGGUUGAUCCUGCCGGACCUUACUGCUAUUGGGGUGGGACUAAGCCAUGCGAGUUUGUGUCUUCUAGCCACGGUGAAGACACGGCGGACGGCUCAGUAACACGUAGCUAACCUGCCCUUGAGACGGAGAUAACCCCGGGAAACUGGGGCUAACAUCCGAUAGGCGAGGAGGCCUGCAAUGGUUCCUCACCCAAAGGUUAAUGGAGCCACGCAUUCAUUAAUGCUCAAGGAUGGGGCUGCGACCGAUCAGGUAGUUGGUGAGGUAACGGCUCACCAAGCCUCUAACCGGUACGAGCCGUGAGAGCGGGAGCCCGGAGAUGGACACUGAGACAAGGGUCCAGGCCCUACGGGGCGCAGCAGGCGCGAAAACUCCGCAAUGCGCGCAAGCGUGACGGGGCUAACCCAAGUGCUGUCCGCUGAGGAUAGCUUUUCUUCGGUUUAAGGAGCCGGAGGAAUAAGGGGAGGGCAAGCCUGGUGUCAGCCGCCGCGGUAAUACCAGCUCCCCGAGUGGUGAGGAUAAUUAUUGGGCCUAAAGCGUCCGUAGCUGGCUCAUCAAGUCUUCUGUUAAAUCCAGCGACCUAAUCGUUGGGCUGCAGGAGAUACUGUUGGGCUAGGGGGCGGAAGAAGCCGACGGUACUCCCGGGGUAGGGGUGAAAUCCUAUAAUCCCAGGAGGACCACCAGUGGCGAAGGCGGUCGGCUAGAACGCGCUCGACGGUGAGGGACGAAAGCUGGGGGAGCGAUCCGGAUUAGAUACCCGGGUAGUCCCAGCUGUAAACUAUGCAGGCUAGGUGUUGGCGUGACUACGAGUCACGUCAGUGCCGCAGUGAAGAUGUUAAGCCUGCCGCCUGGGGAGUACGGUCGCAAGACUGAAACUUAAAGGAAUUGGCGGGGGAGCACCACAAGGGGUGAAGCUUGCGGUUCAAUUGGAGUCAACACCGGGAAACUUACCGGGGAAGACAGCAGGUUGAAGGCCAGAUUAAAGGUCUUGCCAGACAAGCUGAGAGGAGGUGCAUGGCCGUCGCCAGUUCGUGCCGUGAGGUGUCCUGUUAAGUCAGGCAACGAUCGAGACCCACACCUCUUGUUGCCAGCGGUACUCCGGAAGGAGACCGGGCACACUAGAGGGACUGCCGCCGACAAGGCGGAGGAGGGAGUGGGCCACGGCAGGUCAGUAUGCCCCGAAUUCCCCGGGCCACACGCGAGCUGCAAUGGUAGGGACAAUGAGUUCCGACCUCGAAAGUGGAAGGUAAUCUCGAAACCCUACCUCAGUUGGGAUCGAGGGCUGCAACUCGCCCUCGUGAACAUGGAAUCCCUAGUAAUCGCGCGUCAUCAACGCGCGGUGAAUACGUCCCCGCUCCUUGCACACACCGCCCGUCGCUCCAUCCGAGUGAGGUUCAGAUGAGGCGUUGUCCUUUGGGCUGCGUCGAGUCUGGGUUUCGCGAGGAGGGAGAAGUCGUAACAAGGUG
rnacentral:rRNA from 1 species